UACGUAGGUGGCGAGCGUUGUCCGGAUUUACUGGGCGUAAAGGGAGCGUAGGCGGACUUUUAAGUGAGAUGUGAAAUACCCGGGCUCAACUUGGGUGCUGCAUUUCAAACUGGAAGUCUAGAGUGCAGGAGAGGAGAAUGGAAUUCCAAGUGGAGCGGUGAAAUGCGUAGAGAUUUGGAGGAACACCAGUGGCGAAGGCGACUUUCUGGUCUAUUAUUGACGCUGAGGCUCGAAAGCAUGGGUAGCAAACAGGAUUAGAUACCCCGGUAGU
rnacentral:rRNA from 1 species